rnacentral:rRNA from 1 species
UACGAAGGGGGCUAGCGUUGCUCGGAUUGACUGGGCGUAAAGGGCGCGUAGGCGGGUUGUACAGUCAGACGUGAAAUUCCUGGGCUCAACCUGGGGGCUGCGUUUGAUACGUGCAGACUUGAGUUCGGAAGAGGGUCGUGGAAUUCCCAGUGUAGAGGUGAAAUUCGCAGAUAUCAGGAAGAACACCAAUGGCGAAGGCAGCUCUCUGGGACGGUACUGACGCUGAGACGCGAAAGCGUGGGGAGCGAACAGG